AGUGUGUAGAGGGAAAGUUCGUUCCACUUUUCUCAGCGUGGGAGGCAAGUUGGGUUAAGAGAAAAGACGAUGGUCUGAGUCAGGAGUAAAAGAACAGGGGAGGGAGAGGAAGGGAAGGGGAAGGGUGCUGUAGAGAGAAAGACGAGAGGAAAGGAAAAAGCGGCUAGUUGAGUUGAGCCGGAGAGGAAGAGACCAGCCAGAUUGAGGGAAGGCAGUGGGGAAAAAGGGCGGGAAGAAGGCUUGCAACCGCUAGACUGCAUGCCUCGCUAGCUUUGGCGAUUUUCCCGCUCUUACACACUCCCCUCUGGGAAGACUUAGUUCUCAAAACUUUUCUCUACCCCCUUUCCUCCUCCUUCCCCAACUGCUCCCUCAGCAACCUGCACUUAAAAAAAAAGUCCCUUCCUCCUAGCCCCCUGCCAGAUUGGAAGGUCUGACCCUGUGGAGGAAGGAUUAGGCAUGUGGUCGUUUAUUUUGGGUGCAGGCAUUAGUGUGCAGCAGGAGCAGCUCUUAAGCUAUCUGAGUCCUCCGAAGGGGCCAGGUGGAGAGGUGGCCCAAUGCUUCUCAAGGAGUAGGCCUUCAGGCUUCGACCACCAGGCAAUCCAUGUCUGGUGGCCUCUUUGUUGGAAGGAGAGGGCAGAGCAAAGCACAGGCUGGCGUUGCAGGAGAAUAUUUCCAAGAGAUAUUCAAGAAUGCUGCUUUUUAAAUGAGGGGCAUCAAUCACUCGAUAAAGAACAAGUAGGGCAAGAAACCUGCCCCUCCUACUCAUUUAGGGAUUGAUACCAUGGACCAGACACAUGCUUAGUAUGGAGUUGCCAAGAGGACCUACAACUUGAGAUUGAGGGCUCCUUGGAAGGUGAUCAUUCAUCAAUACAGAAAAUCUGGAAUGGAAAGACAGCUUGAAUAUUGAAUUGGAAGCCUACUUCAUCAGCUGCCCAGGGCUGGAAAUAUUUCACAUCCUUCAAGGAGAGAAUCUAAAUUAGGAACUUCUCCAUUGAGGAGAGUCUUGAAUGGGGAGAAUUGAUUAGUGAGUUCAAAAUUAAAAGGUACAAUGGAGGGCGAAUUGGGACAGAUCUUCCUUGCAUAACCACAAUCACCAUGGAGCAUUGGGGAACCAGCAGGAUGGAACACAUGACUUUUGAGGUUCUGAGAAAGUCUUUUGACUGAGAUGUAUUUGGAAUGGUAGCGUCUAUGAACCUGUUAAACUUCAGCUGCUGGUGAGAUGGGCCAACAAGACUGAUCCCAAACCCCAGUGCUAUUCUACUGAUUGCUCACAGAGCUGAUUUCAGCAAGUUCCAAAGACAAUUCUUUUCCUUAUUUUUUUCCCAUCUAUAAACUGGAAGGAGAUUUGGGAGAAGUCAAUCAAGGGAAGCAGUUUCUUUACAGCUUUGCUCUAUAUCAGAUCUUUACUAUGUUUUAAUAAACCAUGUAGCCACACUCAGUUAUCUGAGUAUUAUGAAUGAGGUUAGGUGACAGCAGAUUUCCCAAAUGGUGAGCUCAGGUUGGAACUGAGAACCAAGUCACGAUUUCCAUAAUUUUAAUUUUUUUAAACAGUGAUUUUUUUCUUCCCCCCUAGACCUGCGUUGGUGAACCUAUGCCAUGUGUACUGGAGGGGGCUGCUCCCUUCCCCCUCUCCACAUGUGCCUGAGGACAUUUUUCCUAUCACCACCCCUCUGCUCAGCAGCCCAAUGAGAGCACUCCCUUCCUCCCCUGUCUGGGGUAAGGAGGGGGAGGGUUCACAUGUGACAUGAGGGUUUCAUUUGGGGCACUUGGUCCCUAAAAGGUUUGCCAUCACUGCCCUAAACUAUAACUUGAAACUGGCUAGUGAAGGCAACUAAACUUGUCCAUUUGCACCCAUAGUGUGGGGAAGUAGGGAGUGUAGAGGGGAUCUGAGAAGAAUGGGCAAAAUUUGGUAAGUAGUGGGGCUAUUGAAAACAUCUGAAAAUCUAUACAAGUGUGUUGCCUAUGCCUUGAUGAAAACAUUUGAUUCGUGAUGAGCAUAUCACCACCUAGUGAAAAAAGGGCCUAUUGCACUCCUUUCCUGGUUAAUUAAUUGACAAUCUGCAUUUCUGUAGGUUAAAGAGGCAAGUAUACCAACUAGGCAUGAGUUGCUAAUGAUAUUGUAGGAUGCAGGACACCUAUCAAGCUAUACACUUUGCACCACUGUCUUGUAAAUUUUGUUUUAGUGGUUUGAUUCUUUCAGUUUUUCUGUAUAUUUUUAUGCUAGAUAAUAAAUAUUUACUAGUAUUUGAGGUUAUUUUUAUAAAGCUACUAUAGUAAUUGGGAAGGGAUUUUAUAAUUAUAUUAGUAAGAUCCAUCAUGUUAAUGUGAGGGUAGUAUCCUCUCUGAGGAUCAAUGAGAUUUACCAAUUGGAAAAAUUAAACAAUCAUAGGGUGACUUACUUAGAGUAUUACCUUGUGAGCCUAUUUGGUUUGGGUUCUAUACAUUAGACAAUAUACUUCUAUUUUUGUAACUUUAAUAAAUUGAGAGACCAAACUGGUGCUAGAAAAUGGUGUUAGUUUGGUAGACAUGUUGAUGAAUUGGCAGGCCUUCUGGGGGAGAUGGUCCAUAGGUUCCUUAUUGAGUAUUUAUGGACUUUAUUCUGUAAUGCUGGCCUUGAAAAUAUAUUCUGACUACUAAUUUGACUUUAGGUGAAUUUUAGGAGCAGUAGUAAGGAUUCAGGAAGUAGCCUCAUAAAGCUGUUGGCUGAAUUUUUCUGAGCAUACCCAUUGUUUCCCUUUCUUGAAAAUGGCAGCCCUUGUGCAAGGGGGAUGUAUAGUAUGUUGGAUAGAGAACCCCUGCAUAUAUAAAUUCAACUACUACUAGAUCCAGGUUUGAAUCCUACCUGUCACUACUUUUAAAAGAGGGAGAGGGGACAAAAAAACAACUGGAUGAUAUAUAAUUGUAAUAACAGUGGUCCUGGAAAAUGGAUGAAAAGACUCAUUGUCCACACAUACCCCCUUUUUUCCAAUAGAGAUGGAGGAAACAGUGGAAAGUUGUGUAUAUUAUCACAUUCAGGUAUGUUGAUUAGUUUUCCUGGACCGAUUUUUUAUCUCUCUAUUCUUAACAAGGGAUAACUAACUAGGUAUAGGAGUUGAGGGGAUAUAUUAAAAAUAAAGGUGAUAUAAAAACAAAGUGUUGGCUUUUUAAAAGAAAGUAGCUGCCCCCAAGUCGUCAGCCAUGCCCUUUGGAUGAUAAAACUUUGUAUGAAUUGACAGUUCUUAAUCCAAAAUUACUCAAUAUCAAAAUGAGAAUAAAUGAAACUAGACCUGUCAAAACUGUAUUUUCAUUCUAAUUUUGGCCUGUUACCUGGUUACGGGGUGAAAAAUAGAUAAAUAGAAAGACAAAGAAGGAGUGGUAAACAUCUAAGUAAAGACUUAGCCAUUAUCUUGGUCUAUAAUGCUAAUGCCAAAAACUAAUACCCCUUUUGAAAUCUCUGCUUAUUCCUGGGAGUGGUGAAGUAGUAACAUUAGAUAUAACAAUAAAAAUGGAAUUCUUUGCACUUUGGGGGAUGUUCUCAAAUAACCACAGAACGGAGAACCAUACCACCAUUUCAUCUUGCCUGUAUAUUAAUUAAUACAAUAGCCCAGGUGAGCAUCACCCUUGGAAAAGUUAGUGCCACAACUAAGAGGGAGACAUUCAAGGAGAAGAUACUCCAUUUGAGUGAAGUAUCUUAAAUAAAACAAACAACCGUAACUAAAUUAUUUUGAGAGAAAUGAUAAGAGCUGAAUCUCAGUAUCCUUGAUGGAUAGCCCCUCCUUCUUUCACAAAGCUGGGUGUAUGUACUCUUCCUAGAAAGGAAGAAUAACCUGACAGAGAAGCUAGGGUAGGGUGAUUGACACCUGAGUAAUUACUCUAAUAGUUUCUCCUUACCUAAAAGAUAUUUAAAUUUACAACUGGCUGGCCCCAUCUCUGUUAUGUUAGUGAAACCUUUUGCUUUUACCAUUGUAUUGGUUUCUGUAUUUAUCCCUUCUCCCCUACUCAGUAAUACUCCCCUUGAAAGAAAGAAUAAACAAUUUUUUUUAAAAAGCAACACAUUAGCUGUAUCUGAUAGCUUAUGUUAAUUUUCAUACUCUGAGCAUCCCCCAUGACCAUCAAAAAUAAGAGGAUACACUUUCUUACUCACUUGCUUAUUCCUUG